rnacentral:rRNA from 1 species
AGUUGGUAACACCCGAAGCCAGUGGCCUGUAAUGGGAGCUGUCGAAGGUGGGAUCGGCGAUUGGGACGAAGUCGUAACAAGGUAGCCGUACCGGAAGGUGCGGCUGGAUCACCUCCUUUCUAAGGAG